rnacentral:rRNA from 1 species
GGCCCUCCGGGUCCGAGUGUAAUUGCAGAGGAUGCUUCGGGUGCGGCCCCUGUCUAAGUGCCUGGAACGGGCCGUCAGAGAGGGUGAGAAUCCCGUCUUGGGCAGGGUGCCCGUGCCCGUGUGAAGCUCCUUCGACGAGUCGAGUUGUUUGGGAAUGCAGCUCUAAAUGGGUGGUAAAUUUCAUCUAAAGCUAAAUACCGGCCGGAGACCGAUAGCGCACAAGUAGAGUGAUCGAAAGAUGAAAAGCACUUUGAAAAGAGAGUUAAACAGCACGUGAAAUUGUUGAAAGGGAAGCGCUUGCGACCAGACUCGGCCUCGGGGUUCAGCCAGCAUUCGUGCUGGUGUACUUCCCCGGGGCCGGGCCAGCGUCGGUUCGGGCGGCCGGUCAAAGGCCCCAGGAAUGUAUCGUCCUCCGGGACGUCUUAUAGCCUGGGGUGCAAUGCGGCCAGCCUGGACCGAGGAACGCGCUUCGGCACGGGACGCUGCGCGUAAGGUCGCAACAGA